AAUAAAAUAAGAAAGCUUGCUAUGUAUGAUCUAUGGUAAGAUUUCCAUGAUUAUUAACUAAAGCCAAGGUGAAAAUAAAAAAUGGGUGGAAUAUGACCAUAUAGUUGUAUACAAAUAUAUAAAGUCACCUUGGAGACAUCGUAAUACACCAGUAUUUAAGUAAAUACUUAAGUAAAUAUUUAAGUAAAUACAGUAUUUAAUACACCAGUGUAUAAGUAAAUACACUAGUAUUUACUUAUAAAGGGAAAGAGAACAAAUCUGUGAAGAGUUGGGAGCCCCUCUUAAUACCAUUUUGAUUUCUGAAUCAUGUAAAUGUGUUUUCUAUUCAAAAAGUAAAUGAACACAAAAUUCCUGAUCUUGCUCCAAAUAAUCAAAAACAACAUUUAUAUAGUACAUGGCAGAGAAAUGGAUGCUUUUUAUAUUUACUCAAAAUAUACACUGCAAAAAAAAAAAAAGACUAAGCUAGAGAGAGCUGCAAGACACUGACAAAAGCCCUGACUGUGGGCACAAGACAGUCCUGCCGCCUUAAAGUGUCUGUGAAAACCUGAAAGGCAUCUAACACAUAAUGCUUCUCGGUUUGUUUUUUGCAAAAACCACAAAUUCCAUGUGUUUGGGAUCACCUUAUCUGAUGAUAUCCAUGCAU
rnacentral:lncRNA from 1 species